rnacentral:rRNA from 1 species
UACGUAGGGUGCGAGCGUUGUCCGGAAUUAUUGGGCGUAAAGGGCUCGUAGGCGGUUUGUCGCGUCGGGAGUGAAAUCCACUGGCUUAACUGGUGGCUUGCUUUCGAUACGGGCAGACUGGAGGUAUGCAGGGGAGAACGGAAUUCCUGGUGUAGCGGUGAAAUGCGCAGAUAGUCAGGAGGAACACCGGUGGCGAAGGCGGCGACCUGGGUAGAUACUGACGCUGAGGUGCGAAAGCGUGGGGAGCGAACAGG